rnacentral:misc_RNA from 1 species
AAAAUGCGAUAAGUAGUGUAAAUUGCAGAAUUUAGUAAAUUAUCAAAUCUUUAAACGCACAUUGCGCCCUAUAGUAUUCCGUAGGGCAUGCCUGUUCGAGCGUUAUUUAAACCUUUAAGCUCUGCUUAGUAUUAGGCGUCUAUUCUGCCUUACAGCGCGGACUCGCCUUAAAUCUAUUAGCGGCCGGCACGUUAGCUUUAAGCGCAGCAGAAACGCGAACUUAAGCCUAACAGAUCGGCUCCUAGAAGCUACCCCUAUAAAUUUAACCUUAGAUCAGGUAGGGAUACCCGCUGAACUUAA